rnacentral:snoRNA from 1 species
AACCAUAGUCUCGUGCUAGUUCGGUACCAUACAGGAAAGGGAAGACACGCACAUACGUGUGUGUGCGCUUCUUGCUAUUGUUGCUUAGCUUUCCUAAAACACUGGGCUAGCGUUUCUCAACGCUCGAGAGGCAGAGUCUCAAGGAGCCCCCAGUGGGCCCCAUGCAUCCAUCUAGAUGGCACUUCGGACAGUGGCACUAUAUAGGGGAUUCGGCUUCCAACUUCUCCUCCGGCCUUCGCGGCCGGGGUUUUGAGUCGUUGGAUCACGGGCCGUUUCCCUUAGUCGUUGUCUUGGGUGUUGUUGCCUUUAACGAUGUGUGCGAGGGGUUCGGGGGCUGUUGCCAUGAUUUAUAUGGAUGAGACAGAAGUAGCCCCGUUGACGAGUCAACUUAGAUCAAGUAGGAUGCAUGAUCUUGAGCUCUUUUCCUAUACUUUCUCCCACACCGGGCUUUCUCCUUAUUACGAAGAGAGAGCAAGGCGCGAGGGCGAGUGGGAAAAUCUGAGUUCGGUCAUCUUUGUUGUCAUCCUACUGCAGUAUAUUCCUAAACACUAUGAAACGGCCCUAGUUUGGUCAAUGAUCAUUUGGGUAAAACCAUACUGCAGACAUCU